rnacentral:tRNA from 1 species
GCCUGGCUGGCUUAGUGGGUAGAACAUGUGACUCUUGAUCUUGGGGUUGUGAGUUCAAGCCCCACGUUGGGUG